rnacentral:rRNA from 1 species
GACGAACGCUGGCGGUGUGCUUAACACAUGCAAGUCGAACGGUAAGGCCCUUUCGGGGGUACACGAGUGGCGAACGGGUGCGUAACACGUGAGUAACCUGCCCUCAUCUCUGGGAUAACAGUCGGAAACGGUUGCUAAUACUGGAUAUGAGCUUGCAAGGCAUCUUGUGGGUUGGAAAGAUUUUUUUGGUUGGGGAUGGACUCGCGGCCUAUCAGCUUGUUGGUGAGGUAGUGGCUCACCAAGGCUUCGACGGGUAGCCGGCCUGAGAGGGCGACCGGCCACAUUGGGACUGAGAUACGGCCCAAACUCCUACGGGAGGCAGCAGUGGGGAAUAUUGCACAAUGGACGGAAGUCUGAUGCAGCAACGCCGCGUGCGGGAGGACGGCCUUCGGGUUGUAAACCGCUUUCAAUUGUGACGAAGCUUUUUGUGACGGUAGCAGUAGAAGAAGCACCGGCUAACUACGUG